CCUACGGGAGGCAGCAGUGGGGAAUAUUGCGCAAUGGGCGAAAGCCUGACGCAGCGACGCCGCGUGAGGGAUGAAGGUCUUCGGAGCGGAAACCUCUGUCAGCAGGGAAGAACGGUCACUGUGCUAAGCAGCAGUGAAUGGACGGUACCUGCAAAGGAAGCACCGGCGACCUCCGUGCCAGCAGCCGCGGUAAUACGGCGGGUGCGAGCGUUAAUCGGAAUUACUGGGCGGAAACCGCACGUAGGCGGUAUGUCAUGUCAAGGGUGAACUCCCCGCGCUCAACGUGGGAACUGCCUUUGAAACUGGCACUCUGGAGUGUGUGAGAGGCUAGUGGAAUUCCCGGUGU
rnacentral:rRNA from 1 species